UACGGAGGGUGCAAGCGUUAUCCGGAUUUACUGGGUUUAAAGGGUGCGUAGGUGGGUUGGGAAGUCAGUGGUGAAAUACUUUCGCUUAACGAAGGAACUGCCAUUGAUACUAUCAAUCUUGAAUGUAGUGGAGGUAGGCGGAAUGCGUCAUGUAGCGGUGAAAUGCUUAGAUAUGACAUAGAACACCGAUUGCGAAGGCAGCUCGUUACACGGUUAUUGACACUGAGGCACGAAAGCGUGGGGAUCAAACAGG
rnacentral:rRNA from 1 species